rnacentral:lncRNA from 1 species
GCACAGGUGAAGAAUUGCUGAUUGACCCACUAUAGUACUUGGGGCUCUUCCUCCCUGGGAGAAAAUCCUGGAACAAUCAUUUCAAGCUCCAGAUUUGCACAGCAGGUCCAAGAUCCUGGCUUCAGGCAGCAGCUCGCUGCUCAGUCUUAUAUCACACAAAAGAGCUUUGCCCAGGCGCGUCGCCCGCUCUUUUCAUCCAAUCCUCUCCUGACAGGCAGUCUGGAAAGAAAGCGUACUCAUAUUGAUUCCGAAGGCACAAUUGGAACUCCGGCAUUUUCUUCUGGGCUCAGGGGUCGAGACGAAGGGGUUGGCAGUGCUGGCUGGGAAGCAAAGGAACAGCAGACACACAGGAGCUGAAGUGACAGUAAAUGAAGCUGUGGUCUUCAGGCUUAGGUGGAGUCGGGCGGGCGUUCUGCGCAUCUGUACCUCCGACAAAUGGAUUUGGUCCUCAGUUCCAGCCAUCAUCUGAUUUCAAGUUUGGUUACCUAGGAAACAGAGGGCACACUGCUGGGACAGUCAGCCCGUGUUCUGUGCCGACCAAAGCUAUUAAAACCCAUCAAGUCAGCCUCGGAGAAGCUGAGCACGGACAGUUUCAACUUCCAGCCAGGUGUCGAUGGCUGGCGUUUCUGAGCAGCAUGAAAUCACAUCAGGUUCAUUCAUCAAAUCUGACCGACGAAGGCACCAAGGUGCCACGAAGUUAAGUGACCUGAGCCUGUUCACAUAGAAGAUGAGAAAAGGAGCUCUGUCUUACACCCCUAGCUUUCCUUUAGCUUGUAAAACUCAGGCAUUUAUUGCUCACAGUUCUAGACACCAAGAGUUUGAAUCUGGGGUGCUGGCAAGAUGUUUUAUACACCCGGUUCCAGGCUCACAGGAGACUCCUCACAUGUUGAUGGAACAAAAUGGCUUCCUUACAACUCUUCAGGCUUGUUUUUUUUAUGCAUUUCUACUUUAAAUUGAUGCAUCAUAUUUGUCCAUAUUUGUGAAGUACAGUGUGAUUAUAUGUAUACAUUCAUAUAUGUACACAUAUAUGUAUAUACAGUGGUACAUUAUAUGUACACACUAUUUAGUAAUCAGGCUAAUUGGUACCUUUAAAAUAUAUCAUUCAAGAUCCUUUCUAUCAACUAUUUUGAAAUAUUCAAGUAACUGUUUCAAACACAGCCACUCCACCAUGCUGUAGAGCAUUGGAGAUUCAUUUUCCUAUUUAACUGUAUCCUGUUCUUAGCUACUGUCUUCAUCCUUCUCUCCCCAGCUCUCUUCCCAAGCACACAGCCCAUCCUCUUAAUACUGUGCCAUGCUGGGGUCCCUCAGACAAUUGUUUCUUCAUAAUCCUUCCUUAUAGAGAUGCCAUUUACUAAAAGGCUGGUGAGGUCUUGGGUUUCUCUCUCACAUCAAUUAUUUUACAUGCCAUUUGGUAGCUGAUAACUCACUGUCGAGAGUCUCAAGGUGAGACUCACCAUGUAAAGCCAAGAUCAGUGAGUAGAGGGGAACUGUGGUGGCUUGAAUAGGUAUGGCCCUCAUAGACUCAUGUGCUUGGAUGCUUGGCUCAUUGGGAGUGGCACUGUUAGAAGGUCUUGUUGGAAAGGUGUGGACUCAUUGAAGGAAGUGUUUCACUGUGGGGAUAGGCUUUGAGAUCUCAGGUGCUCAAGCUAGGCCUGCUGUCAUUUUGAUUUUGCUGCCUGCCGAUUGAGAUGGAGAACUUCUCUAUCACCAUGUCUGUAUACACGCCACCAUGUCUUCUGCCAUGAUGAUAAUGGGCAAAACCUCUAAAACUGUAAGCCAGCCCCAACGAAAUGUUUUCCUGUAGGAGAGUUGCCUUGGUCAUGAUAUCUUUUCACAGCAGUGGAAACCCUAAGACAUCAACCAAGCCUCUGCUGUCAACCUCUUCUGCCCACAUCACAACAAGUGUUCUGAUACUAGGGGAUGCAUGCUUAGUAGUUCCUGGAAAUUUUUACGGAAGACAUAAUCUUGCCUGGGCUGUGCAUUAACAAACUGACUCCUACACUGUGUUAAAUAUUACAGUCUUGGCAAUGGAAGGAUGACAACAAAACGCCAUUGGUGCCACCUGCAGAUGCAGCUUGCCGUGUGAACCAAAGUGCCAAUGUUGAAAUUCUAGCUGGCACACUAUGUUAUUUCAUUCCUGAAAUUCAAGGUUUUCUUCUAUGACUCCAUUCAGCACAUCUUUCUUGAAUACAUUCUAUGCUCUGUCAUUCAGCAUGACAAUCAGUGACAAGGUAGGCAUCUGGUGCUACCACCCUUAGCCAUGGGCCCUGAGUAAAAGAUGCUUAAUGCUUAUCUGGGUGGCUGAUUGGACUACUUGUAGAUAUAUCAGAUGUCUGGUCAGGAUUCUGGACUGCCGGUCAAUUCUCAGGAAUGGGAUCUGGGGUGUAUGUACUAUGGGGUCUGUGUUGUGCGUCCCAACAUCUCCUUUUAGAAGCAAAUCUAAUUUGUGAAAAUGAGCCAUUUGUUUAAAAAAGAAUGGGAAUUACCAGAAUGACUGCUUAUGGAGUGCCUCUUAGAUGUCAGGAACAAACACUCUGCAGGCAUUUUAAUUCCAACAUAAUUCUCAUGAGCACUUAAUGAAGUAGGCCUGGUAGCGAGUACCAGUCAAGUGUGUGCUCGAGGUGAUGCAGUUAGUAGAUGGUGCUGGACUUUGAACUUGGAUCAGCUGGAGUCCACAGCCUAUGGGUCUGAGCCUUAGGUAAGUCAGUUUCAUGUAGCCGUGUGUUCUACAGUCAGAGCUUCAACUACCCAAAGAUUGAGAAAACAUAGCAUCUAGAAAGAACACAUGCAGAUUUAGUCUUAUCAUCUUUACCUGCGUGAUACAAUACAGCAUCCACAUCAGUUACUUUUCUCACUGCUGUGGAAAAAUACUCAGCAAACACAACUUUGAAAUAGAAUGUGUGUGUGUGUUUACUUAAAUUAUUUUAAAACCUGAGUGCUUCCCUACCCCUACCCCCACAGAAAUCCAUCAACUGUGAAGAGCUAUCCUUCAGCAUCCCCCAUUCCUGUCACGAUUUUUGAGCAGUCUUUUCAAUGGCUUCCUGUCUAGAUUGGUUUUGGGAGGUGGGAUUGGAGGGAGGGGAAAGGUGGUCACAGAAGCCUUCUAUGUCUCUCAGCUGUGAGUCUGAAGUCAUUGAUUCCACUGUAGAAGUUUCCUAGCCCUUUAAGGUCAGUGAGAGCAUUGGUCAUAGACUUCCACAUGGUCUCUGGCUAUAAAAUAGGCCAAGGACAUCAACACAGACCACAAACAUUCCCAUGGCCUUUGGUGAUAACAUGGGCCACAGAGAUCAACACAGCUCCUGACAGCAGCAAAGACCACAGACAUCACCAUGGUUUCAGAAGGCAUCACAGACUAUGGACAUCCACAAGGCCUUUGGUCAUAACAUGAGCCAUGGAUACCCAAAUGGCCCCCAGAAGCAGAAGGAAGGACUAAGGACACCAACUUGGCCCUCUGUGGCACAAUGGACCUCGGAUAUCACCAUGACCUUAGGCAGUAGCACCAGCUAUACAUAUAAACGUGGCCUUGGAGGUAACAAGGGUCACACAUCAAUUCUGCCUUCAGUGGUAAUAUGGACCAAAAACAUUAACACAGUGGAUUCAGGUAGCAGCACGGAUCACAGACACUUCCCGGCCUUCAGGGGUAAUGAAGACCGUGGAAGCCAUCGUGGCCCCUGGCUGCAGUAGGGCCACUGACACCAACAUGGCCUCAGAUUAUUUCAUCGUUUUUUUUUUUUUUUUCUUCUUCUUUUGUUUUGAGAGAGGUCACAAAUAUGGGGGUUGACCUGGGAGGACUGGGAAGUGAAUGUGAUGGGGGGUUCACUAUGUGAAAUUUCCAAAUAAUCAAUACAAUUAUUAUGUUAUUAAAAGAAGAAAUUGUCUCAGAAAAAAUUUAAAUGUAAAAAAAUUUAAAAUAUUAUUUUAAUUAUGAGUACAGGUGUAAUUAUGUGUAUGUUACCUAUGUGUGGAUGCCCCUGGGGUUACAGGCCUUUGACCCCCUGGGACUGGAUUUACAGGUCAUUGUGAGUCUCCCAAAGUGGUUGAUGAGAACUGGAUGAGGGUCCUUUUUGAGAGAUGUGUGUGCUCUUAACCACUGAGCCAUCUCUUCAGCCCCAGGGAUGGCUUAUUUUGCCUCAGAGUUGAAGGGUACAAAUCUAGCAUGGUAGAGAAGUCAUGGUUGUAGCAGUAUGAGGUUGCUGGACACAUUGUGCUCAGAGUCAGGAAGCAGAAAGAGAGAGAUGGAAGUGGGGACCCAGACCUUAUUCCGUCUGGGACCCAGACCAUGAAAUGGUUGCUGCUCACAUUUAAGGUGGGUCAUCUCUGCUCUGUUAAACCUUUCUGUAAGGACCCCUCAUAGACAUACCCAAAGGUGUGUCUCUUAGGUGAUUCUAAACUCCACUAAGUUCACAAUCAAGACUGACUAUCACUGUAUCAUAAAUAAUCUAGAGAUGAACUGAAGUAUAUAAAAAUAUACCUAUGGGUUAUGCAUAAACACUAUGCUGCUUUAUACAAGGGAUAUGAGAGCAUCUUCCAUUUUUGGUAUGUGUUUUAGUGUUGCUAUUGCUGUGAAGAGACAUCAUGACCACAGCAACUCUUAUAAAGGAAAACAUUGAAUUGGGGCUGGCUUACAGGUUUAGCCCAUUACCUUCAUGGUGGGAAGCAUGGUGGCACACAGGCAGACAUGAUGCUGGAGAAAGAGCCGAGAGUUCUACUUCUGGAUAGGCAGGCAGCAGCAAGCUUAAGUUUCUGAAACCUCAAUUCAUUCCCCCAGUGACACACUUCCUCCAAUAAGGCCACACCUACACCAGCAAGGCCAUAUGUCCUAAUCCUUACAAAUAUUGCCACUCUCUAUGAGCCAAUGGGGAUUUUUUUUCAUUCAAACCACAGUACCCCAGAGAUAUCAUAGAACCAUUCUUUUACAGAUAGUAGAAGAAAACUAUACUACAUGGUCAUCCACAUUAUCCAUGAAAAUUGUUUAUACCAGUUGAUCAAGCCUAUGCCUGGCCUUGGUCUCAGCUGACACAUUUGCCACUGCCUCCACCCAUGCUUUGAGAUGUCAACAGACUUCAAACUUCAUUUAGUAGCCCUUCAGUCACAAGGCAGAUAACUAAUAUCAGGAUUUUUCUCUGACUGUUUGGCUUUCUCCAUAAUAAUGCAGCUUAAUUAAGCUAGCCUCCCAAAGAGCUGCUCAGCUGAGACUGGCAGAGAGGAUUUGAAUUAAUCUUUCUUCUCUUAGAUGAUCCCAAGUCAAACUCAUUCAUGCCCACACAGGGAUGCGCUCUUCACCUGCAUGAUGGAAUUAAAAGAAGAAAUCCUCACUACAUUUACUAGACCAUGUGCGGAUGCUCAAACUAUGAUGUGCCUCCAACUCUUCAAUGCGGAUCCCUGGGCACUGAGCUAGUUCUAUUGAAUUGCUAUCUUAGGGAUAGUGGACCUGAUAGUCAUGGUAAUGAACACAGGACUGUAUCAUUUAAUUGGAUGGAAGAGAUAUCACUGGCACUUGGUUGGAUGCCUGAUCAUAUCUGAACUAGCUGAGGUCACAGUUGCAUGCAGCCCUAGGUUCAAGCCCUGAUUGUACCACUUUGAAGAUGGCUGACCUUCCAAAAAUUGUUUACGCCCUUUGGCUUCUUUUACGACAUGGUCUCUGUAGCUUUAGCUGUCCUGGAACUUGUUCUGUAGACCAGACUGGCCUCAAAGUCAAUGAUCUGCCUGCCUGUGCUUUCUGGGAUUAAAGGUGUGUACC